rnacentral:rRNA from 1 species
CGUACACUCCUACGGGAGGCAGCAGUGGGGAAUAUUGCACAAUGGGCGCAAGCCUGAUGCAGCCAUGCCGCGUGUAUGAAGAAGGCCUUCGGGUUGUAAAGUACUUUCAGCGGGGAGGAAGGCGAUAAGGUUAAUAACCUUGUCGAUUGACGUUACCCGCAGAAGAAGCACCGGCUAACUCCGUGCCAGCAGCCGCGGUAAUACGGAGGGUGCAAGCGUUAAUCGGAAUUACUGGGCGUAAAGCGCACGCAGGCGGUCUGUCAAGUCGGAUGUGAAAUCCCCGGGCUCAACCUGGGAACUGCAUUCGAAACUGGCAGGCUAGAGUCUUGUAGAGGGGGGUAGAAUUCCAGGUGUAGCGGUGAAAUGCGUAGAGAUCUGGAGGAAUACCGGUGGCGAAGGCGGCCCCCUGGACAAAGACUGACGCUCAGGUGCGAAAGCGUGGGGAGCAAACAGGAUUAGAAACCCCUGUAGUCC